AUACGGAGGAUGCGAGCGUUAUCCGGAUUUAUUGGGUUUAAAGGGUGCGUAGGCUGUGCGUUAAGUCAGGGGUGAAAUGCCGUCGCUCAACGACGGAGCUGCCCUUGAUACUGGCGUGCUGGAGUACGGAUGCCGUUGGAGGAAUGAGGGGUGUAGCGGUGAAAUGCUUAGAUAUCACUCAGAACACCGAUUGCGAAGGCAUCUGACGAAUCCGUCACUGACGCUGAGGCACGAAAGCGUGGGGAUAGAACAGGAUUAGAUACCCUGGUAUUCCACGCCGUAAACGAUGAUGACUAACCGUCGGCGAUAGACAGCCGGUGGCCAAGCGAAAGCGAUAAGUCAUCCACCUGGGGAGUACGGCGGCAACGAUGAAACUCAAAUGAAUUGACGGGG
rnacentral:rRNA from 1 species